rnacentral:rRNA from 1 species
GAUGAACGCUGGCUACAGGCUUAACACAUGCAAGUCGAGGGGAAACGACGGGGAAGCUUGCUUCCCCGGGCGUCGACCGGCGCACGGGUGAGUAACGCGUAUCCAACCUGCCUCUGACUGAGGGAUAACCCGUCGAAAGUCGGCCUAAUACCUCAUGGCAUCGUCUGCGGGCAUCCAACGACGAUUAAAGAUUUCAUCGGUCAGGGAUGGGGAUGCGUCUGAUUAGCUUGUUGGCGGGGUAACGGCCCACCAAGGCGACGAUCAGUAGGGGUUCUGAGAGGAAGGUCCCCCACAUUGGAACUGAGACACGGUCCAAACUCCUACGGGAGGCAGCAGUGAGGAAUAUUGGUCAAUGGGCGAGAGCCUGAACCAGCCAAGUAGCGUGCAGGAUGACGGCCCUAUGGGUUGUAAACUGCUUUUAUGCGGGGAUAAAGUGAGGGACGUGUCCUUCAUUGCAGGUACCGCAUGAAUAAGG